AAUACAUACAAGUCGAACGAGACUUCGGUCUAGUGGCGGACGAGUGAGUAACACGUUGGAACCUGCCCCGAACUCAGGGAUAAGCACUGGAAACGGUGUCUAAUACCGGAUAGUCCCGCAAGGGUAAAGAUUUUUCGGUUCGGGAGGGGCCUGCGGCCUAUCAGCUUGUUGGUAAGGUAAUGGCUUACCAAGGCUAUGACGGGUAGAUGGUCUGAGAGGAUGAUCAUUCACGAUGGAACUGAGACACGGUCCAUACUCCUACGGGAGGCAGCAGUAGGGAAUCUUCCGCAAUGGGCGAAAGCCUGACGGAGCAACACCGCGUGGUUGAUGACGCCCCUUGGGGUGUAAAGACCUUUUCUGAGGGAAGAAUUAUGACGGUACCUUAGGAAUAAGCACCGGCUAAUUACGUGCCAGCAGCCGCGGUAAUACGUAAGGUGCAAGCGUUAUCCGGAAUCAUUGGGCGUAAAGCGUCUGCAAGUUGUUUAUUAAGUCAGACAUUAAAGACGGCAGCUCAACUGUCGGGCCGUGCCUGAAACUGGUAAGCUAGAGUCAUACAGAGGUACGUGGAAUUCUGCAUGUAGGGGUAAAAUCCGUUGAUAUGCAGAGGAACACCAAAAGCGAAAGCAGCGUACUGGGUAUGUACUGACACUCAGAGACGAAAGCAUGGGUAGCGAACGGGAUUAGAUACCCCGGUAGUCCAUGCCGUAAACGAUGAUCACUCGAUGUUAGACUUUUCAAUCGGUCUAGUG
rnacentral:rRNA from 1 species